rnacentral:rRNA from 1 species
AGCCGGCGAUGUCCGAAUGGGGAAACCCAGUGCAAUUCGUUGCACUAUCGUUAACUGAAUACAUAGGUUAACGAGGCGAACCGGGGGAACUGAAACAUCUAAGUACCCCGAGGAAAAGAAAUCAACCGAGAUUCCCCCAGUAGCGGCGAGCGAACGGGGAGCAGCCCAGAGUCUGAAUCAGCUUGUGUGUUAGUGGAACGGUCUGGAAAGUCCGACGGUACAGGGUGAUAGUCCCGUACACCAAAAUGCACAGGUUGUGAACUCGAAGAGUAGGGCGGGACACGUGGUAUCCUGUCUGAAUAUGGGGGGACCAUCCUCCAAGGCUAAAUACUCCUGACUGACCGAUAGUGAACCAGUACCGUGAGGGAAAGGCGAAAAGAACCCCGGCGAGGGGAGUGAAAAAGAACCUGAAACCGUGUACGUACAAGCAGUGGGAGCACCUUCGGGUGUGACUGCGUACCUUUUGUAUAAUGGGUCAGCGACUUAUAUUCUGUAGCAAGGUUAACCGUAUAGGGGAGCCGCAGGGAAACCGAGUCUUAACUGGGCGUUAAGUUGCAGGGUAUAGACCCGAAACCCGGUGAUCUAGCCAUGGGCAGGUUGAAGGUUGGGUAACACUAACUGGAGGACCGAACCGACUAAUGUUGAAAAAUUAGCGGAUGACUUGUGGCUGGGGGUGAAAGGCCAAUCAAACCGGGAGAUAGCUGGUUCUCCCCGAAAGCUAUUUAGGUAGCGCCUCGUGAA